UACGUAGGGACCAAGCGUUGUUCGGAUUUACUGGGCGUAAAGGGCGCGUAGGCGGCAAUUCAAGUCAGCUGUGAAAUCUCCGGGCUUAACUCGGAACGGUCAGCUGAUACUGCUUUGCUAGAGUGCAGAAGGGGCAAUCGGAAUUCUUGGUGUAGCGGUGAAAUGUGUAGAUAUCAAGAGGAACACCUGAGGUGAAGACGGGUUGCUUGGCUGACACUGACGCUGAGGCGCGAAAGCUAGGGUAGCAAACAGG
rnacentral:rRNA from 1 species